rnacentral:ncRNA from 1 species
CCUGCUGAGUUUAACCAUAUAAAUAACCAGAGGAAAAGAAACUUACAAGGAUUCACAUAGAAUCUGCAAGCGAACUGGGAAUACCCCAGCUUUAGAAUUGGGCGGCUCCGUCAUUUGAAUUGUAGUCUGGAGAAGCAUCCUCAGCGGCAGACCGGGCCCAAUUCCCCCAAAGGGGGGUACCAGAUAGGUGAUAUGCCCAUUGGGCCCGGACCCUAUGGAACCGUGAGGCACUAUCUAUGAGUUAGGUUGUUUGGGAAUGCAACAUAAAUCGGGCGGUGAAUUUUAUCCAAGGCAAAAUACGGGCGAGAGAUCGAUAGGAAACAAGAAUCGUGAAGGAAAGAUGAAAGGGACUUUGAAAAGAGAGUCAAAGAGUGCUUGAAAUUGUUGGGAGGAAAGCAAAUGGGGGCUGGCGAUGUGCCCUGGUAGGAUAUGGAACAGUGAUGAUCCGGUCCGCCGAUCGACUCGGGGCAUGGACCAGUGUGGUUUGGGGGUGGCCAAAGCCCAGGCUCUCGAUACGCUCAUGGAAUGCCAUCUCCUCAAUUAUGGUAGGUAGCGUAUGAUAACACUCAAAUGACACUCUUGAUUGGGUGUAAGCGAUAUUUGUCAAUAUAAAACCCAACUAGGUUGGGGUCGAAUCCUUU